AAACAUCUGUAAAGGUGGCUUUAAGUUCUUUUAUGAAUUUUCUUAUUUUCCAAAGAUCAGAGAUCCCUGGAGAAUGUUAAACAUCAACUUACAACAAGCCAUCACAACACAUACACAAGAAAUUUAAAUCAAAGCAGAAUAAGUUGAAAUCACAAGGCACAACCAAAUGAAUCAUUUGCAUUCCAGCAAAAUUUAAGUUCGAAAAAUGAAUUAAGGCUGCGAUACACAGCCUGCUGGGGAAAGUGGCCCUUCCAUGUUGCCCAUCACGUGG
rnacentral:lncRNA from 1 species